rnacentral:misc_RNA from 1 species
UUGAAUAAACUUGAACAGGCUGUUGCUGGUCCCUCUUCAGGGACACAUGUGCACGCUUGUCAUCUUUAUCUCUCCUCAUGUGCACAUUUUGUAGACCCUGGUGUUUGAGGAUUGCUUAUUUGCUCUCCUUGUUUGGGUUAUAUCCCAGGUCUAUGUUAUUUUUCACAAUCUCUUUGAAAUGUAUUGGAAUGUUAAUAAUAAUAAAAAGUUGAUA